rnacentral:misc_RNA from 1 species
GAUGAAGAACGCAGCGAAAUGCGAUAAGUAAUGCGAAUUGCAGAAUUCAGUGAAUCAUCGAAUCUUUGAACGCACAUUGCGCCCGCCAGUAUUCUGGCGGGCAUGCCUGUCUGAGCGUCGUUUCGACCCUCGCGCCCGGCUUCUGUCGGGGGCGGUGUUGGGGAUCGGCCACACCCUUCAGUGGGAGGCCGGCCCCUAAAUUCAGUGGCGACCACGCUGUAGCCUCCCCUGCGUAGUACUAAAACCACCUCGCAGGCGGAGAGCGGUGCGGCCCGCCGUAAAACCCCCCAACUUUUACAAGGUCGACCUCAGAUCAGGUAGGAAUACCCGCUGAGCUUAAGCAUAUCAAUAAGCGGAGGA